GGACCCGCACAAGCAGUGGAGUAUGUGGUUUAAUUCGACGUUACGCGAAGAACCUUACCAAUCCUUGACAUCCAACUAACGAGGCAGAAAUGCAUUAGGUGCCCUUCGGGGAAAGUUGAGACAGGUGGUGCAUGGUUGUCGUCAGCUCGUGUCGUGAGAUGUUGGGUUAAGUCCCGCAACGAGCGCAACCCUUGCAAUUAGUUGCUACGAAAGAGCACUCUAAUUGGACUGCCGUUGACAAAACGGAGGAAGGUGGGGACGAUGUCAAAUCAUCAUGCCCUUUAUGGAUUGGGCUACACACGUACUACAAUGGCCGAAACAGAGGGAAGCAAUGGAGCGAUCCGGAGCCAAACCUUAAAAGCGGUCUCAGUUCAGAUUGCAGGCUGAAAUUCGCCUGUAUGAAGAUGGAAUUGCUAGUAAUCGCGAAUCAGAAUGUCG
rnacentral:rRNA from 1 species